UACGAAGGGGGCUAGCGUUGCUCGGAAUCACUGGGCGUAAAGGGUGCGUAGGCGGGUCUUUAAGUCAGGGGUGAAAUCCUGGAGCUCAACUCCAGAACUGCCUUUGAUACUGAAGAUCUUGAGUACGAGAGAGGUGAGUGGAAUUCCCAGUGUAGAGGUGAAAUUCGUAGAUAUUCGGAAGAACACCAGUGGCGAAGGCGACACACUGGGCCAUUACUGACGCUGAGGCGCGAAAGCGUGGGGAGCAAACAGG
rnacentral:rRNA from 1 species